GUGGUUCAGGCAAAAUGCACAUCCUGAAGGUGGUGGGUUUGGAGCUGGGAUGAAUCUGCCCACCUGUUCGCAGCUCUGCCCCAGGAUUCCUCGGAUCUGGCUGAAGUCACUCUCCCUGUUGACGCAGACGUGCUUGAAGCUGAGCUAAAGAACACCUUACCCCCUAGCCUGGCAUGCCUAGCUUUCAGGACUUGGCAAUGGAAAUGACUGACCUCUGGUCUCGCUUUUCUGCUUUUCAGUGCAUGAGGUGAAGAUCCAGAUGCAGGAAAGCCUGACCUUGCUGAGGAAGCCCUGCCUCUCCCACUCCACCUGAAGCUAAGAAUGCUGCACAGCCUUGGGAAGGUUUGAGCCUGGUUGCUCUCAGUUCUUCCCAGCGUGGAUGCGUUCCUGCCUUUCCCAGCCUGCAGGAGUCAGAGGGCGCUGUGCAAGCACACUGAGUCAAGGCCCAGUGGUGAUGGUGGCAGCAGUGGUUGGCCAUGGAUGAGGCUGGUGGCCCUGAGGAAGACUGCUGGCCCUGCACCUGAGGGAAGAGGUGUCAAAAGUCAAAAAGAAGGACUUUGAGCACUUGCUGAUAGAGGUGAUGCAGAUGUGGGACUUUCUGCUCAGGAUCCUCAAUCAGGAAGUCCUGGAGAGUUGCUCCAAGUUGAAGAUUGUCAACAAAUUGAGUCUCCCUGCAUCCCUAGUGGGCAUCAGCUCGGGGGUGUGUAAUUCAUUCAUUGCUGGUUCAGCCUAGAUGAGCAGCUACUAAGGAGUCCAGCAAGCAAGCAUUGCAUGCCACAUUCUCUCAGCCACUUCUUCAGUAGAGUUUUCUGGGUCCUGAUCUGUACAGAGGGACAGGCAAUGGGCAG